rnacentral:lncRNA from 1 species
UGAUUGAUUUAUUUAACAACUUUCAGCUGGAUCAGAAGAACAACGUAUGUUGCAAUUGUGGCGAAAGCCUGAAAAAUAAAAAACAGGUACUCACUUGUUUAAGAAUACAGUGGUAGAGGAGAGCAAUUAUAACUAAGGAACCUAAACGGAAUAUAGUCCAAUGUAAGAUCGCAAAAACUUGUGCAGCAACUCUCCAGCUAAAGUGAACUCUCAUGAGGAAUGUGUAGUAAAACUGAAUCACUGCCGAUGAAACUGCAUGUGUGAAGAGCAGCAACGUGGGUAUUCCGAAGAUGUCGUUGAUGUCGAGGCAUACUGAACAAAGCUUAUUGUGAAUGGCGUGAAUCGUUUCAAUAGAUUCUACAUGUUUUUCAACUGAAACAAAAAAAAAAAAUAAGACGUAGAUUUGCAAAGCUGGUAUUCACCGGCGCAGCGUUGUUCUUGAGGAUUUCAGUAUUGUAGUAAAGAGAUUCUAAUGAGUUAUGGGUUCGUAUUACUGAGGUCAAUUUCUCAACUUAUCGAGGACAUUAUAAUGCCACGAAGCUAUACUAUAUUCGUUGCUGAACUGAACUACUGGAUUGAGAUUGAUGUGAAAGUUAUGACGACAACGCCGGAGAGACUAAUGCCCGUAUUCGCCGUAGAGCGAAGCUUAAGGGAAUGAUGGAACUAGAAGAUGAAAUCAUGCUGGAAGUCGAUAACGGCAUCUUACAUGUCAUUGAUUUUGGUUUUCCACGAAGAAUUUUUAGAAGGCCCAACUAUUUCGAGGAGAUGGAUGAUGCUAACAACACUAUUUGUGCUGGAGCUCAUAGAAAAUGCUUUAGAAUUCGAAAACGAUUUGUAAAAAAUACAUUCAAUUGUU